GACGAACGCUGGCGGCGUGCUUAACACAUGCAAGUCGAACGGAAAGGCUCCAGCUUGCUGGAGUACUCGAGUGGCGAACGGGUGAGUAACACGUGGGUAAUCUGCCCUGCACUCUGGGAUAAGCCUGGGAAACUGGGUCUAAUACUGGAUAUGACCUUUCUCCUUAUGGGGUUUGGUGGAAAGUUUUUCGGUGUAGGAUGAGCCCGCGGCCUAUCAGCUUGUUGGUGGGGUGAUGGCCUACCAAGGCGACGACGGGUAGCCGGCCUGAGAGGGUGAUCGGCCACAUUGGGACUGAGAUACGGCCCAGACUCCUACGGGAGGCAGCAGUGGGGAAUAUUGCACAAUGGGCGGAAGCCUGAUGCAGCGACGCCGCGUGAGGGAUGACGGCCUUCGGGUUGUAAACCUCUUUCAGCAGGGACGAAGCGCAAGUGACGGUACCUGCAGAAGAAGCACCGGCUAACUAUGUG
rnacentral:rRNA from 1 species